AACGAACGCUGGCGGCAGGCCUAACACAUGCAAGUCGAGCGCCCUUUCGGGGGAGCGGCGGACGGGUGAGUGACGCGUGGGAAUAUGCCCUUCUCUACGGAAUAGCCUCGGGAAACUGAGAGUAAUACCGUAUACGCCCUUCGGGGGAAAGAUUUAUCGGGGAAGGAUUAGCCCGCGUUGGAUUAGGUAGUUGGUGGGGUAAUGGCCUACCAAGCCGACGAUCCAUAGCUGGUUUGAGAGGAUGAUCAGCCACACUGGGACUGAGACACGGCCCAGACUCCUACGGGAGGCAGCAGUGGGGAAUCUUAGACAAUGGGGGCAACCCUGAUCUAGCCAUGCCGCGUGAGUGAUGAAGGCCUUAGGGUUGUAAAGCUCUUUCAGCUGGGAAGAUAAUGACGGUACCAGCAGAAGAAGCCCCGGCUAACUCCGUGCCAGCCGCCGCGGUAAUAC
rnacentral:rRNA from 1 species